CAAUACAGCUAACUGAGCACACAGGCAGGGAUCUAUCAUCCACCCUGGCUGUACUUAAACAAAGCACUAAUCUACAAUGUGCAUACAGAAAUAACCGGAAAACUCUGAAUUGAUUGUCAACUUCAUUCUAUCUUUUUUGUUUAAAUGUUCUUUGCCCCUUUUUUAGAGAUAAAUUAGUCAAUUAAUCAAAACUUCUUAAAAACAAUUUAUAUAAAAAGCACAUGUGAGACUUAUUCCACUGUUUUCUGGUUUUCACUGUACACCUCUGAUGCCUGAGUUCCACUAUUAAUCUAAAAAUGAAAUGCACACUGACACUCUCAGCGUAGGAUCACUUACCAAAAUCCCAGGAAAGAAGUUAAGAAAGAACUUGAAUGCAUUUCCCCGGUAAAAACCCCUCCUAGCCUGUCUAUCAACGGUGAAAAAGGAUUCCGAGUAUGGCAUAAUUUUUUGCCGGACUAUAGCGGGCGAAAUGCCGGGUUGCAUGCACUCUAAGUGUACCCUCGUCAUGCAAACUCAACUCAGUCCGUCCGAACCUUUGGGAGAAUACGGAACCUAACCUACCCGGCCUCAACCCUACUCCGGUAAUAGUAAAGUGUAUGUGGGAUGCACUCUACACUCUAUAUACAGGAUGGAUAUCAACCACCCAGUCAGGGAUAUUUACAGUACUGCAGUACCGUGUACGGCGAGGAUAAUAAUAAACAUGGAUACAUUCAAAAUAAUCUCAGG